CUCAAUUCGGUAUUGGUAAACACCUGUUUGAACAUGGCCUCGAAACGGCAACAGGAGUCGGGAGCGGAGAAAAGAAAGAAGAAGAGGAAGCGUGAUGAAACUCAGGCGUCGCUUGCCGGGUCAAUGCUUAAAUAUGUUCAAGGAGGAUCUCAAGGACAGGAUGAACCAUCCAGUAGUAGUGCCAUCCCUGGACAUCAACCACCAGCCAUUGUAGACCCUGCAACAAUCCCUAGCCAAGAAGAACAAGAACCAUCAACCACCAGUUCAGGGAGUGUGGGGAGUCAUAGCCCCGUCCCCCAGGGCAUGAAGCAGGCAUGCAGGAGAUCCAGGCCCCAGACAACCAGAGGCCCCAGAGUACGAGGACCCAAGGAGGACCACCAAAGGGGCAACCGUGCCACCCUCCUGGGAAGAGCUGAGGAGAGCCUUAGGCGAGGGGUCACCCAGCAGCCACGGAGCAGAGGCCAGAGGGGGUUGCAGUGACGUGCCCGCGGGCUCUGCCGGCAGCCAGCUGUGCCAGAGAGGACCGAGCCACAGGCCCAGAGACCAAGAACCAUCAACGCACCAACGUCUGAGGGUAUCAGCCACCGGCGGGGAGUGUGGUGAGGGGAGAUAGGCCUCCAUAUCUUGGAGAGCCUGAGAUGUUCCCAGAGAGGUGGAAUCUAAGACCCAAGCUGACAUAUAGACACAGAUGAACAGGCGCACGCAGACACAAACGUGCAUUCCCACCCGUAAAAACACAUAAGCAAAUAUUCGGGACUCACCCGACGUGGAGACAGACAGAAAUAGACACUGUACACACAAUCACACUCCCCAAACAUACUCUAUAUCCCAGGUCCAGGUACCCUCGCCUGUGUCCAUUUUCUACUUUUACAGUUAAUUGUAUUUUGACUUCUAAAUGUCAUACAGGUCACUUGUACCGCACAGAUUUCAGGUUCAUACAGUGGAAUAGUUUGUACUAAUUCAGUUUCAACCUACAAGACCCUACACAGUUCCCAGCUAUUCCUUAUUGAAUUUCACAUUUCAAAAAAAAUAUUCAUUUUCUUUAGGCUGCAUCUCGUUCAUCUAAAUUUCCUCACUGUUUUUUUUAACCUAUUAAUUUGCACAGCUCCUGUUUGCCAUUAUUGAAAUGAGCUUGCUGUGUCUUUGUUUAUAAAUGACUGCUAUGCUUGUCAAUCAUCCCACAGUUUCUACUCCUACUUGUGCAUUUUUGUUAUGCUAAUUUUCCUUGUUAAAUCUAACAAUUAAAGUUAACACCACUCUUCAACAGCAUGUCUUCUCAUGGUCCACCAGUGUGAUGCAAUUCAAUUCAGUCAACACCAACUGCAUCACGUAAGGUGUGGAUGACACGACUGUUCUAUAUGUGACCAAAAGAAAAGAAAAUUAUCUUUCCUACGUAGCAUGUAUCAGUGAAUCUACACCAUCCACACAUAUAUAUGCACACCUGGUUUAUCAGCUGCGCGAAGGAGUGUUUUUGUGGCUGUAUGUGGGUAAGUGUGUUUAGCUAUGGCCAGCUUUGAGAGGGUAAUCCAUCUCCAUCACUUAAAUGAUUAUCCCCAUUAAUCUGCUGUAAACUAAUAAACACUAUUCCCUCCUCCCCUCGUCUUCAUUCCCUCUCCUUACCAUCCUGUGCCUCAGCUCUCUGCUUUAGAUGGAGGUUCAUUAAGUGUUUAGUACAUUAAUAUGUCUC
ensembl:lncRNA